CAAAGUCCUGAUCUGACAUUCUUGUAAUAGGGGUAAGCCUAGAUAUGAGGACAGAAAGUCUCCUAUAUUGUUCACUACAAGGCGCUGAUAUCAAGUAGUAAAAACAAUCUCAAAGUAACACUAGGUAACAAAUGGUGAAAGCACAUAGUAAUCUUUCAAUAUAUUGUGAUCCUGUGCUGUAUCGAAUUGUAAAUGGAAUAAAUAUAAACAUAGACAAUAAGUGUUCAAAUAGCGAUUUAUAAUAAUAGAUAAUUUUAUGAGCGACUAUAUUUGUAAAAAUUUGCCGAUACCACUACAGUCAAUUCUGGUUAUAGUUGUACGUUUGCGACAACAUAUACGUCUGUAUUGGUUGUCGUUUAUUUUCUGUUUAUAAACGGGGAUCAAGCUUAGAAGCCUGAUGCAUAGUUGACAGUCUUUUGAGAAUCUAAACUGAACUUAGAACAGGACAAAAAGAAUGAAAGUGAUAGAGACACUGAGAGUCGAAACGAGAUAAGUUGAGCCUUUCUUAACUCAAAAAUCAAACUUUCUUAUCUUUGAUUUGUGAUGAAUGAAAUUUUUACUAACGUGUUCGUUACAUUUUCUUAAUUGAAAUUACACCAAAUACGAUACGAUUUGGAGCAUAUUUGCUUACUUUAUAAAUGAUAAUUAAAUACAUAUCAAUAAGUAAAUCUAAUUCAAAUUAUAUCGUGUUUGUUCUCAUUUUAUUUAGAAAGAUCUCACAAAUAUAUUAGCAAAAUAUUAAUUUAGAAAAAGUGAAAAGUGAAAAGGUUUCACUUUUGAAUUAGUAUCCGCAUACAUAGACUGUCGUCCCGUCGAUCGUAAUCGAAGAGGGAUGAGAUGGCGCGGCGUACAAUCCCCGAUUGUAGUCGGGGUGAAGACUAUUGCACCCGGUUGUCAGUACACAACGAAGCAUGAAUAGGAUAGGCAGGAUAUGGAUCCAAUGCUAAUUGCCUCCGUAGGGAGAAGUCAAGCGGAUCGCCGAGGAUUUUACUCGAGAAGCUAUGGCAUUAUUAUUAUUACAAAUCACGGGCGAGUUUUACUUGGCUUCACGAGUCGAUUGGGUCAAUAUGUAUCCCAAUCCUCCAUAGAUUAGAAUUCAGAGAAUUAAUAAGUUUUACUCAAUAAUAAAAAUAAAAUGGAUAAAAAUCGUGGAUUACAAAAAUUACAUAGUCAUGACAUCAAAUCUUGUUUGUAGUUAGUUUAUACCUCUUUUUUAUCAUCUUUAUGAAUGAACACACAUGCAAAACAAAUACAUCACUCAGAAAUAUUACUCGCAACCUAACAACUACUGAAAUUACUAUUGAAGUGAAAUUCAGGUUUUAUAAUAAAAAUAUUAUCACGAGGAAAGUGAAUUUAAUGUUAAACCUAGAAAGCUGUGUAUAGAGAAUAUAUUAAAAUUAUUGCAUCAUUCCACUGA